AUUGAACGCUGGCGGCAGGCCUAACACAUGCAAGUCGAACGAGUGGCGGAAGGGUGAGUAAUGUCUGGGAAACUGCCUGAUGGAGGGGGAUAACUACUGGAAACGGUAGCUAAUACCGCAUACCAUGAGGUGUGCCCAGAUGGGAUUAGUUUGUUGUGGGGGGACAGGCUCACCAAGGCGAAGAUCCCUAGCUGGCCUGAGAGGAUGACCAGCCACCCUGGAACUGGGACACGGUCCAGACUCCUACGUGAGGCAGCAGUGGGGAAUAGUGCACAAUGGGCGAAAGCCUGAUGCAGCCAUGCCGCGUGUAUGAAGAAGGCCUUCGGGUUGUAAAGUACUUUCAGCGGGGAGGCGUUACCCGCAGAAGAAGCACCGGCUAACUCCGUGCCAGCAGCCGCGGUAAUUC
rnacentral:rRNA from 1 species